rnacentral:rRNA from 1 species
UGGGGAAUCUUGCACAAUGGAGGAAACUCUGAUGCAGCGACGCCGCGUGAGCGAAGAAGCCUUUCGGGGUGUAAAGCUCUUACGCCAGGGACGAUAAUGACGGUACCUGGAGAAGCAGCUGCGGCUAACUACGUGCCAGCAGCCGCGGUAAUACGUAGGCAGCAAGCGUUGUUCGGAAUUACUGGGCGUAAAGGGUGCGUAGGCGGCGCUCUAAGUUUGGUGUGAAAUCUCCCGGCUUAACUGGGAGGGUGCACUGAAAGCUGGGGCGCUCGAGUAUGGGAGAGGAAAGCGGAAUUCCUGGUGUAGCGGUGAAAUGCGUAGAGAUCAGGAGGAACACCUGCGGUGCAGACGGCUUUCUGGACCAUCACUGACGCUGAGGCACGAAAGCGUGGGUAGCAAACA